GAUGAACGCUGGCGGCGUGCCUAAUACAUGCAAGUCGAGCGAACAGACGAGGAGCUUGCUCCUCUGACGUUAGCGGCGGACGGGUGAGUAACACGUGGAUAACCUACCUAUAAGACUGGGAUAACUUCGGGAAACCGGAGCUAAUACCGGAUAACAUGUUGAACCGCAUGGUUCAACAGUGAAAGACGGUUUUGCUGUCACUUAUAGAUGGAUCCGCGUCGCAUUAGCUAGUUGGUAAGGUAACGGCUUACCAAGGCAACGAUGCGUAGCCGACCUGAGAGGGUGAUCGGGCACACUGGCACUGAGACACGGUCCAGACUCCUACGGGAGGCAGCCGUAGGGAAUCUUCCGCAAUGAGCGAAAGCCUGACGGAGCAACGCCGCGUGAGUGAAGAAGGUCUUCGGAUCGAAAAACUCUGUUAUUAGGGAAGAACAAAUGUGUAAGUAACUAUGCACGUCUUGACGGUACCUAAUCAGAAAGCCACGGCUAACUACGUG
rnacentral:rRNA from 1 species